CAACCCUUCAUGUCUUAACGGAGGAACAUGCACCGCACCUAAUACAUGCCAGUGCCGGACUGGGUACACAAAUACAACAUGUACAUCACCUGUGUGUAAUCCAUAAUGUCUUAAUGGAGGGACGUGCAUUGCUCCUAACCAAUGCAGCUGUCGGACAGGCUACAGUACUCCACGAUGUACAGAUGUAAACGAAUGUACUGAUGGCUGGAAUGGCUGUCACAUGAAUGCUGACUGCACCAACA